rnacentral:rRNA from 1 species
CUGAGCCUACGGGGCGCAGCAGUGGGGAAUAUUGCACAAUGGGGGAAACCCUGAUGCAGCGACGCCGCGUGAGUGAAGAAGUAUUUCGGUAUGUAAAGCUCUAUCAGCAGGGAAGAAAAUGACGGUACCUGACUAAGAAGCCCCGGCUAACUACGUGCCAGCAGCCGCGGUAAUACGUAGGGGGCAAGCGUUAUCCGGAUUUACUGGGUGUAAAGGGAGCGUAGACGGCAGCGCAAGUCUGAAGUGAAAUCCAAUGGCUUAACCAUGGAACUGCUUUGGAAACUGGUCAGCUGGAGUGAAGGAGA